rnacentral:tRNA from 1 species
UCUCUGGUGGUCUAGUGGUUAGGACUUGACGCUUUUACUGCCGUGGCCCAGAUUCAAUCCCUGGUCAGGAGAA